CCCUUAGAUGUUCUGGGCCGCACGCGUGCUACACUGGGUGGAUCAGCGGGUCAGGUUGCGCGAAAGCGUUUCCUAAUCUUUAAAUCCGCUCGUGAUGGGGAUUGACGGUUGCAAUUUUCUGUCAUGAACGAGGAAUACCUUGUAAGCGCGGGUCAUCAUCCCGCGCUGAAUACGUCCCCGCCCUUUGUACACACCGCCCGUCGCUCCUACCGAUUGAGUGGUCCGGUGAGGCUUUGGGAUCUGAGCGGAAAGAGCGUUUCGCUGUUUCUGCUCGGAAAACUCAGUCGAACCUUAUCAUUUAGAGGAAGGAGAAGUCGUAACA
rnacentral:rRNA from 1 species